AAUGAACGUUGGCGGCGUGGAUUAGGCAUGCAAGUCGAGCGAGAAGGGUUUCCUAGCUUGCUAGGGAACCCCCAAAGCGGCGAAAGGGAGAGUAACGCGUAGUUACGUACCCAGGGGUUCGGAAUAGCCACGGGAAACUGUGGGUAAUGCCGAAUAACAUCUCCGGAUCAAAGGUGUGAUUCCGCCCCUGGAGCGGACUGCGUCCUACUAGCUAGUUGGCGGGGUAAUGGCCCACCAAGGCAACAAUGGGGUAGCGGGUGUGAGAGCAUGACCCGUCUCACUGGGACUGAGACACUGCCCAGACACCUACGGGUGGCAG
rnacentral:rRNA from 1 species